rnacentral:rRNA from 1 species
CCUACGGGUGGCAGCAGUCGGGAAUAUUGCGCAAUGGAGGAAACUCUGACGCAGUGACGCCGCGUGCAGGAAGAAGGUUUUCUGAUUGUAAACUGCUUUAGACAGGGAAGCAACAAGACAGUACCUGUAAAAUAUGCUCCGGCUAACUACGUGCCCACAGCCGCGGUAAUACGGAGGGAGCGAGCGUUAUCCGGAUUUAUUGGGUGUAACGGGUUCGUAGACGGGAAGGCAAGUUGGUUGUGAAAUACCUCGUCUUAACUGAGGAACUGCAACCAAAACUAACUGUCUUGAGUGCUGGAGAGGAAAGUGGAAUUCGUAGUGUAGCGGUGAAAUGCGUAGAUAUUAGGAGGAACUCCAGUGGCGAAGGCGACUUUCUGGACAGUAACUGACGUUGAGGCACGAAAGGGUGGGGAGCAAACAGGAUUAGAUACCCCUGUAGUC